rnacentral:rRNA from 1 species
AGCGAACGCUGGCGGCAGGCUUAACACAUGCAAGUCGAGCGGGCGUAGCAAUACGUCAGCGGCAGACGGGUGAGUAACGCGUGGGAACGUACCUUUUGGUUCGGAACAACACAGGGAAACUUGUGCUAAUACCGGAUAAGCCCUUACGGGGAAAGAUUUAUCGCCGAAAGAUCGGCCCGCGUCUGAUUAGCUAGUUGGUGAGGUAACGGCUCACCAAGGCGACGAUCAGUAGCUGGUCUGAGAGGAUGAUCAGCCACAUUGGGACUGAGACACGGCCCAAACUCCUACGGGAGGCAGCAGUGGGGAAUAUUGGACAAUGGGGGCAACCCUGAUCCAGCCAUGCCGCGUGAGUGAUGAAGGCCCUAGGGUUGUAAAGUCCUUUCGGCGGGGACGAUGAUGACGGUACCCGCAGAAGAAGCCCCGGCUAACUUCGUGCCAGCAGCCGCGGUAAGGCACGACUGU